UUUCCGUAGGUGAACCUGCGGAAGGAUCAUUAUCGAGUUUUGACUGGGUUGUAGCUGGCCUUCCGUGGCUGGCGCACGCCCUGCUCAUCCUCUCUACUCCUGUUCACUUACUGUGGGUAUCACAUCGUGAAGCGUGCUCUUUUACCAGACCUUGUGAAGCGUGUCUGUGCCUGCGUUUUUCACAUACACUAUAAAGUAUCAGAAUGUGUAUUACGAUUUAACGCAUCUAUAUACAACUUUCAGCAACGGAUCUCUUGGCUCUC
rnacentral:misc_RNA from 1 species